UGAUGUGUGCUUAAUUAUCUCAGCCAUAAUAAUAGCGAUACUGUGUGGCACCAAAGCACUGGUGAGCAUUUUAUUGGGUAUGAUGAGCGUUGAGUGUCCAGCUACAAUUUUAUUUCCUUGUGUUAUCCUAUGUAUUUCAGGCUUAUGUGCAAAUGAUAUGGGGAAAUUGCUUUGGUCAGUGAACAAAUACCACAGAAAUUAUAUAAAUCUGAACCUCGUCACAUGAUAUUGACCAGAAGAAAAUAGCCACACUUGUAAAGAAGAUUGCUUGGUAGUUUAUUUACAACAGAAUGUAAGGAAAAAGAUCAAUGGCAAAGUCUGAGAUCUGCUUCCUGCCACUGGAGACCGCACUUAGCAUGAAAGGACAGGGAUAGAGUAAGGGUGGCUUUUUGGAUGCCUCAAGACAAAGAUUCUUUCUGGUGUGCAGAUUCUUUUUCUUAAACUCCUACCAGGGAACAUUCUACCAACAGUAGCUCAGCUUCCCACAGGCUGCGAGUGGCCGUACCUGCGGACGCACUGGUAAAUAAAGCAUCUCAUGACCCGCCACGGGCUUACCAUGAAUAAGCUGCGAACCAAGUUUGGGAACCCCCUGCUCUAAAUCGAGCCCCUGAAAUCUGUUAUUCCUAAAUGGUACUGGAAGACCAUGGGAUAGAGUUAAGAUACCGAGAGGCUGGUGAGUCAUUUGACAAGGUGACAUAUAGCAUGGAUUUCAGUACGCAACAGAUGGCUUUUACUCUACAAUAUACUUAUUUUUCACUCUGUUAGAAAUACAGUUUUUCACCGUC